rnacentral:rRNA from 1 species
UACGAAGGGGGCUAGCGUUGCUCGGAAUCAUUGGGCGUAAAGCGCGCGUAGGCGGUUAUCUAAGUCGGAUGUGAAAGCCCUCGGCUUAACUGAGGAAGUGCAUCCGAAACUGAAUAGCUAGAGUACGAAAGAGGGUCGCGGAAUUCCCGGUGUAGAGGUGAAAUUCGUAGAUAUCGGGAGGAACACCGGUGGCGAAGGCGGCGACCUGGGUCGAGACUGACGCUGAGGCGCGAAAGCGUGGGGAGCAAACAGG